rnacentral:rRNA from 1 species
GACGAACCCUGGCGGCGUGCUUAACACAUGCAAGUCGAACGGAAAGGCCCUGCUUUUGUGGGGUGCUCGAGUGGCGAACGGGUGAGUAACACGUGAGUAACCUGCCCUUGACUUUGGGAUAACUUCAGGAAACUGGGGCUAAUACCGGAUAGGAGCUCCUGCUGCAUGGUGGGGGUUGGAAAGUUUCGGCGGUUGGGGAUGGACUCGCGGCUUAUCAGCUUGUUGGUGGGGUAGUGGCUUACCAAGGCUUUGACGGGUAGCCGGCCUGAGAGGGUGACCGGCCACAUUGGGACUGAGAUACGGCCCAGACUCCUACGGGAGGCAGCAGUGGGGAAUAUUGCACAAUGGGCGGAAGCCUGAUGCAGCAACGCCGCGUGCGGGAUGACGGCCUUCGGGUUGUAAACCGCUUUCGCCUGUGACGAAGCGUGAGUGACGGUAAUGGGUAAAGAAGCACCGGCUAACUACGUGCCAGCAGCCGCGGUGAUACGUAGGGUGCGAGCGUUGUCCGGAUUUAUUGGGCGUAAAGGGCUCGUAGGUGGUUGAUCGCGUCGGAAGUGUAAUCUUGGGGCUUAACCCUGAGCGUGCUUUCGAUACGGGUUGACUUGAGGAAGGUAGGGGAGAAUGGAAUUCCUGGUGGAGCGGUGGAAUGCGCGGAUAUCAGGAGGAACACCAGUGGCGAAGGCGGUUCUCUGGGCCUUUCCUGACGCUGAGGAGCGAAAGCGUGGGGAGCGAACAGGCUUAGAUACCCUGGUAGUCCACGCUGUAAACGGUGGGUACUAGGUGUGGGGUCCAUUCCACGGGUUCCGUGCCGUAGCUAACGCUUUAAGUACCCCGCCUGGGGAGUACGGCCGCAAGGCUAAAACCCAAAGGAAUUGACGGGGCCCCGCACAAGCGGCGGAGCAUGCGGAUUAAUUCGAUGCAACGCGUAGAACCUUACCUGGGUUUGACAUGGAUCGGGAGUGCUCAGAGAUGGGUGUGCCUCUUUUGGGGUCGGUUCACAGGUGGUGCAUGGCUGUCGUCAGCUCGUGUCGUGAGAUGUUGGGUUAAGUCCCGCAACGAGCGCAACCCUUGUUCACUGUUGCCAGCACGUUAUGGUGGGGACUCAGUGGAGACCGCCGGGGUCAACUCGGAGGAAGGUGGGGAUGACGUCAAGUCAUCAUGCCCCCUAUGUCCAGGGCUUCACGCAUGCUACAAUGGCUGGUACAGAGAGUGGCGAGCCUGUGAGGGUGAGCGAAUCUCGGAAAGCCGGUCUCAGUUCGGAUUGGGGUCUGCAACUCGACCUCAUGAAGUCGGAGUCGCUAGUAAUCGCAGAUCAGCAACGCUGCGGUGAAUACGUUCCCGGGGCU